GUUCCGUAGGCGAACCUGCGGAAGGAUCAUUAAUGUGUUUGGGCCUCACGGCUCUUCAUUCCGACGCUGUGCGCCUUCGGGCUGCACGCUGAGAGAGCAUAUAUCCACCCCUGUGCACACACACGGUGGCGAGCUGGGUAACGGCUCGCCGCUGAUCUUUACACACGUCUAAAAGUCAUUGUAUGUUUAUUUGAGAUAAAAACACAACUUUCAGCAACGGAUCUCUUGGCUCUC
rnacentral:misc_RNA from 1 species